rnacentral:rRNA from 1 species
UACGUAGGGGGCAAGCGUUGUCCGGAAUUAUUGGGCGUAAAGCGCGCGCAGGCGGUUUUUUAAGUCUGGGGUUUAAGUUCGGGGCUCAACCCCGUAUCGCCCUGGAAACUGGGGAACUGGAGUGCAGGAGAGGAAAGUGGAAUUCCACGUGUAGCGGUGAAAUGCGUAGAGAUGUGGAGGAACACCAGUGGCGAAGGCGACUUUCUGGCCUGUAACUGACGCUGAGGCGCGAAAGCGUGGGGAGCAAACAGG